rnacentral:rRNA from 1 species
AACGAACGCUGGCGGCAUGCCUAACACAUGCAAGUCGAACGAAGCCUUCGGGCUUAGUGGCGCACGGGUGCGUAACGCGUGGGAAUCUGCCCUUUGGUUCGGAAUAACAGUCGGAAACGACUGCUAAUACCGGAUGAUGACGAAAGUCCAAAGAUUUAUCGCCAGAGGAGGAGCCCGCGUAGGAUUAGCUAGUUGGUGUGGUAAAGGCGCACCAAGGCGACGAUCCUUAGCUGGUCUGAGAGGAUGAUCAGCCACACUGGGACUGAGACAAGGCCCAGACUCCUACGGGAGGCAGCAGUGGGGAAUAUUGGACAAUGGGCGAAAGCCUGAUCCAGCAAUGCCGCGUGAGUGAUGAAGGCCCUAGGGUUGUAAAGCUCUUUUACCCGGGAUGAUAAUGACAGUACCGGGAGAAUAAGCCCCGGCUAACUCCGUGCCAGCCGCCGCCGUAA